UCUACCUCCUGUGAGGAAAGCUCAGUGUAGACGGGUUUUCUUUGAGAAGAAUCUAUUCUGACUUAUGCCUCUCUGUGGUGGCUUCCUGCCUCAGGUUUUGAAAGUCAAGGCCCUCCACGAUUCUGUGGGCUGCUUCUCUGAGGAGCCUCAUAGCUCUGAGUUUUACAAGAGUUGAUCCCAGAGGCCUGCAUUUGCCUGACCAAGGACAAAGCACAGCUUCAGUUACCCUCGGUCAACCAUGUUCUAGAAGCAGAUGAUCCUCCUUCUGAUGUGCUGUUGGAAUAUCAGUGGUACGCUAACGCUAGGUCACGAUGCCUAUGUCAUUCACCUCACUUCACCCCCCAGCUCUUACUCCGGGAGAAUCCAGCUGCUGUGUUUUGAGUAACUCUAUGGAGAGCCUCAUGUGACAAGGAAAUAAUAUCUUCAGUCUAUAGCCAACAAGGACCUAAAGCCUGCCCACAGCCAUGUGACUGAGCUAGGAAGCCAACUUUCUGAUGCAUGCCAAUAGCCUCAUGAGUGAGUUUGGAAGUGGAUCCUCUUGCAGUUGACCCUUGAGAUGACUGAAGCCUGGCUAACACCUUUACUGAUACCUAGUGAGAGACCCUGGGUGCAACCACCCAACUGAGCUACACCUGCACCUGAAUUCCUGACCCACAGAAACUGAGAUAACAGAUACUGCGUCAAGCUGCUAAAUUUUGAGGCAAUUUGUUAUGUAGCAAUAGGUAACUGAUACAAGUGCCUACUAUUUUCAGGUAGUAUGCUAGGCCCUAAGAAGGUGAAAAAUGAGUGAUGCCUUGUCACUGUGUUUGGGGAGAGGAGGAGACAGCAGUCCAACACCUGAAUUUUAAGAAGCCAAACUGAAUUAUCUAAAGAACACAGACAAGUGUAAUUUGCUUCAUUGUUUUUGCUCAUAAAAUCGAGCAGAGAACCGCUGACGUGUUUCCAUGGAAUAAUUGUGCUUGCUAUUGAAAAACUGGCUCAGGUGAUAUUUUAUGAAAUCUCUACUUUGAAAAUCUGAGGGAAAGUUUGGAAAGUAUUGUAUGUUUUUUGUUUGGUUAAUUGUUUUCCUGCUUUUUCCCCUCUCCCUCCUGGCUCUGGGGUUC